CUUCUGGUUGGCUGAAAGUGGGGUGGCUCUACUUCCCGCAGACAUUCAGGGGUCCAGGCUGACAGAGGCUCUGCUAUUUUCAAUACGUGGCUCCCAGUGUUUCCUGCCAUCAAUAUCCAGCCAGCAAAUGGGGGAGUAGAGAAGGCACGUCUGCUUUUUAACCUCAUGCAUUCCACCCACAUUCCUUGAUGGGCCCUCUUUUGCAAGAGGAACAAUUUCUUGAACUAGGAAAACAGUUAAUUCAGCACGUGACAAUCAGUGCAGACUUCAGGUGAGUCACCAGGCACGGGUGCAGUGCCAGUGGCAGCUCACAGUGACAGAGAAGGGUCAUGGUCCGUGCAGAAGAAUUCUAGUCUUCAGUUACCCACGAGAAGGUCAGCAGCCCUGGGUUGAAAGAUCAGCAGGUUCACACCCUCGGGAUUCUUUUGAUGAUGUUCUGAAAGGCGUUGGAGCUAGAGUGUCUGGAAGGUGGAGGAGAUGGCGGUCUAUAAUAACUUUGGUUAUGGUGGCUGAGCUGCGAGAACUUGCUGAGGCGCGCGGCCUCCUCCUCUCUCCUCUGUUGGCAGGUAGGUGGAUGUUUGCCCAGCUGGGGGUUUAUCUUCCCCAGAGUGGGAAAGGACAGCGCCACAGUGUAAACAAAGUAAGAAUCACAACUGGAUGGGGAAAUCAGAUUGACCUGGAGAAAUUAUGGCAUUACUAAACACAGCGUUUGCCUUGGCAGUAAUAAAGGACGAGUGCUGGGCGUCAGGGGCCACCAGGACGCCCCCACACCGUUCACUGAAAUACCAAAUGGUAUCUGCGGAUCAGAGCUAAGAGCACUGCUGGGUGUUGGUGGGAGCUUCAGAGCAGCUGGCAGCUUUGGGAAGGAAUUACCUCAGAAGGAAGGAAGGAAGAGAGAAGGGAGAGAAAGAAGAAAGGAAGGAAGGAAGGAAAGAGGGAAGGAAGGAAACAAUGAUGCAGAAAGAAAGGGAAAAAGAAUGAGAAACAGAACCGGCUGCCCCAGACUGGGUUUGCCCUAGUUAGUGUACCACGUAAAUGUAUUUCCGUUAUUAAAACGAGGGUUGAGACUGCCCCUCAGUCUUGGCUAACAGCAUGGUUAUGCCAUAAAGAAGCCAUUGUUCUCUGGGAAUAAAAUGCCGCUAUUUUUUAAAGACAAGGGACUCUUAGAGCACCAGGAAAAAUCAGUACUAACUGGUAGCUGGAAAAUGAGAUUCACCUCACAUGGGAGUUGGACCUAUGUCAGAAGCUGCCUCCAACAUGGACUCCAGGCUUUCACCUGCUGUUCAGAUAGCCCAUGCUGAACAUCCUCAUCAGAACCCUCCUGCCUCUGCAGUUGGAGCUUUGGUUUCCUGAUUUGUCAAAGAAGGGGGUUGGCAUUAGGGAUUUCUAAAGAACUUCCAGCAAGGAAAUACUUGCAUCCUCUGGUUCAUAUCCCUGUGGUUUGGUUUCUGGUGGCUUUUACCUUAGGGAUACCUAGCAUUUUCUGGUUCUGCCAGGAGUGGAGGACCCCAGCUGGAUGCUCAGCCCUCACCACCUGAAGUGUCACACUGGAAUGAGAAUUAUGUUAAUUGAAUUUGGGGGGCCUUGUGCCUUUGGAACAGGUGGCCAGAGAGUCAAAAUCUAAUUUACAUACUGAUAAGAGUUGAAAAAUGAGGCUUUCUAAUUAACAAAAUGCCUGCAACUGGUCUGGCUUGAUAUUAGCAUAAAAGUGUUCAUCACAUUGGCAUAUAGUUAGGACGCUGGGCAAAUUUGCCUCUAAAAAUUCACUGGAGCGGAGGCCUCUCUCCACUUUUGGUUUCUAUACAGCUUAUAGCUAUUAUGACAGGUCUGAAAGCAGGAACUGGAAUCUGAGUCAAGAUGAAUGUCUGACCCUGUCCUACUGGUUGGUUUGUGUUCAUUUGAUGGGUGAGAGCCCUGAAGAGUGAGAAGGGAAAUCCCCCAUGUCUGCGAAGUGGCAGCUCAUAAUGGUCUGGGCUGGAAGAUCCUGGUUUGGGGAGGGCUAAGUUUCUCUCCUCCCUCCCCCUUGAAAUGUGGAGGCUCAACAGCUCUAGGCUGGCCACACUUCUAUCUGCUUCACAGAACUGUUUAGAAAACUAAAAGUUUCUUUUCCUAAUGCCACCCAGCUGCUUUGAUGGACUUGUGCCCACCACCAGAAUUGACAGGUUGUUUCAGCCUCAGGUCCCUUUGGCCCUUACAAUUUUUUCCCCAUCUUCUGUUAAGGUGGUAAGGUCAUGAUCAGACGUGCAUAUGUGUAUGUGUGUAAGAUUACUCCGGAUUUGUACAUGAGUGUUCAUAGCAGCUCUAUUCACACUAAUCCAAAGUACAAACCAACCAAAAGUUCAUCAACAGAUGACUGGAUAAACAAAUCAUGGUAUAUACACACAAUGGAAUUUUACUCAGCCAUAAACAGGAAUGAGGUACUGAUACAUGCUACAACAUGGAUGAAGAUCGAAAACAUUAUGCUAAGUGAAAGAAAUAGACACAAAAGGAAAUUUUGUAGACACAAAAAUAUUUCAUGAUUCUGUUUAUAUGAAAUGUCCAGAAUAGGUAAAUCCAUAGAGACAGAAAGCAGAUUAGUGAUCGUUAGGAGUUGGGGAAGGA